rnacentral:misc_RNA from 1 species
GUAAACUCUGCCAAUUUUUUUUAUAAGCAAAACUUUUAUUGAUAGCAAUAAUCAAGAAACACAAUCAAGAAACACGACUUCAACUAAACUCAGAUCAACAAGUCACCUCAAUACACUCAAUCACAGUACACACUAAACUUUGGCCAUUCUUAACAACUAGUUUAUGUCCAUGUAAAUGCAACAGGGCUACUAACUUUGUAUUGAGCAUUGCUCCAAACAAUCCAACCAAAUGCAGCUCCUACAACAGCCUUCUUAUUCUUCUUGUUCUUAAAUAUUACCGUAUAUCUUUGCUUUUCUCCAACCUUUUUAAAAACCAUCUUAGCAGGUUUCACCGACACUUGUACAGUCGAUGGCGCAGUCACUGUCACUUCAUACAUAGAAUUGACAGGGCCAACAUUUGUCAAUUCUCGACUAUAUUGGAUACUUGUCUUGUUCUUGAACAAGACUGAGAAUGAUGGGUAAUUGAGAUCACCAAGAUCACUAAAUUUGUUUGAGCAAGAUAUAUUCAGUUUCAGGUGACUCAUGAACACUUCAAUAAUAUCAUGAGGAUAACGCAAUGAACAUAAGAACUUCGUAUAGUCUUCUUUAGAGAUAUCAUAGACGAGGCCUGGAGAGAGAGCUUUUGUUGGGUCUAUAUGACCAGACCCAUAGUCCCAUGGGUUGGCAGGUUUACCAGUUACAACAUCUCGUAUUGGAGAAAGUGUGUUAUCUAAGUUGUAAGCGGUAGUCAUCAUCGCAGAUUUUAUUGCACUUGGACUCCAACUUGGAUGUGCUGCUUUGAUCAAUGCAGCAAUUCCACUUGCAUGCGGACAUGCCAUGGAUGUGCCUGACAAAAGGUUGAACUUGGUGGUUCUCUUGUCUAUCUCUAAAUUAGAUGGACUUACGGCGUCAGGCCAUGCGGCGAGGAUGUUAACUCCGGGAGCUAUAAUAUCUGGCUUCAAGAUCUGUGGUGUCACCAGAUUCGGCCCUCGAGAACUAAAAGAUCCCACAAUUGGCGACGGUCUUACAUUUACCACUGUCUUGCCAAAGCUUAGAAGAACUGUUGGAUUAGGUUCAGUCUUCACAUACUUCUUAAUCAAAUCGCCUACUUUCUUCCCCAACGUCAAGGCGGGCACCAAGAAACUGUUAGUAUCCAACGCCUUCACAGCUAUACUGUCAAUUAGUAUCAUUCCAACCCCUCCAGCCUUGCGCACCACCAGACUUUUCUCCUCAUCAUAGCCUUCGCAGACCACCACAUGGCCACGCACCAAAGCCGGUUCAAGCGUACCAGGCAAACAUAAAUUGCUGGAACUAUUACCUCCCUUAUGAUACACCAACCUGGCUGGCUUGCUUCCCAUUCCUGGUCCUUUGUAGAGCGAGACACCGGCAAACCGCUGUUUGUUACCAAGCAAGGCAUAAGCUGGAAAGUUCCGGUCUAUACUUCCGGCACCGACUGUCAAAAGCCAUGGGGCCACGUUUGCUACAGUGGAUUUUGCAGGCCCACCGUUACCAGCUGAACAAGAGACGAAAAUGCCAUUGUGCGUUGCAGUGAAUCCAGCAAGAGCGAUUGGGUCAAUAAAAUAUGGAAGAGGUUCGGGAUUCCUGCUGCCAAUCGACAGAGAGAGUAUAUCUACACCAUCUAAAAUAGCCCUAUCCAUCCCUGCCAUAAUAUCAACUCCAGAACAACCGCUGCUCCAGCAGACUUUAUAGCUUGAGAGUCGGGCAUGAACUGCCAUUCCACGGGCGGUGCCUCUUGCAAAACCAAACAGACUUGCAUUUGUCACGGGCGAACCUGCAAUUGUAGUAGAAGUGUGCGUUCCAUGCCCAUCGUAGUCUCGCGGCGAGGCAAUAUCCUUGGACGUAGGUGCUAUUUUCUUGUGUCCUUCCAAGAAAUAAUUAGCUCCAAUUAGCUUCUUAUUGCAGAGUUUGUGAUCGAAAUCGCGUGUGGAGUUACAUUUUCCCUUCCAACGUUUUGGGAUCUCAGGCAAGCCCGUGUCAUCGAAACUUUUUGACUCUGGCCACACGCCAGAGUCAAGAACUCCGACAAUAACGUCAUGAGUAGCUUGUUCAAUUUCUUGAAAUUUACGUCCGUCAUUCAAGCCGAAGUUGGAAUUGAGACCAAGGAAUUGUGGUGUGCGGGUGGUUUGGACAGAGUAGAGAGUAUCCUCAAAGACAUUAAGGACAGAAUCCAUAUUCCUGAGAGAUUCGGCUUCUUCAGGUUCUAGAUAGGCGGCGAAGCCAUGAAAUGCAGUGGCGUAGGUAUAGAGAAGGGAAUCAGAGGUGGAAGUGAGGGAUUGGUACCAGUCACUGUGAGUAGAGUAUGAGUGGGGCUUGGAGUUAUGAUUCAUGUGGAAAAUAUAAGUUUUCUUGGCAGUAGCUUGGAGCAGUGAAAGGGUUGUUAAGAGGAGAAGAAAGAGGAACCAAGUGUUUGCCAUGGAACCCAUAUAGUUCCUGCUUGUUUAUGCUUGGAUAAAUGUGAACCCAUAUCCUAUUAAAAAGGCUUCUCCAUGAUAUAAGAGAGAGAUUAUUAGGUACACUCAAUGUAUAUAUAUCAUCUUUUAUGAUCAUAUGAGACUUAUUAGAGACUCAUUAUUUAUAUUAUAAAGAAGAACAACUUUAUUGUAAGAGAAAAAUCUUAUCCUAUGAAAAUAAUACAUACAAGAUGACAAGAGUCACCUCUGCUAUUAUUACAAGUAAGUAGUGCCG